rnacentral:rRNA from 1 species
UACGUAGGGGGCUAGCGUUGUCCGGAAUCAUUGGGCGUAAAGCGCGUGUAGGCGGUUCGGUAAGUCCGCUGUGAAAGUCGGGGGCUCAACCCUCGGAUGCCGGUGGAUACUGUCGGACUAGAGUACGGAAGAGGCGAGUGGAAUUCCUGGUGUAGCGGUGAAAUGCGCAGAUAUCAGGAAGAACACCAAUGGCGAAGGCAGCUCUCUGGGACGGUACUGACGCUGAGACGCGAAAGCGUGGGGAGCGAACAGG